rnacentral:rRNA from 1 species
GCGGCCGAUUAGGUAGUUGGUUAGGUAAUGGCUUACCAAGCCGUUGAUCGGUACGGGUUGUGAGAGCAAGAGCCCGGAGAUGGAACCUGAGACAAGGUUCCAGGCCCUACGGGGUGCAGCAGGCGCGAAACCUCCGCAAUGUGAGAAAUCGCGACGGGGGGAUCCCAAGUGCCAUUCUUAACGGGAUGGCUUUUCAUUAGUGUAAAGAGCUUUUGGAAUAAGAGCUGGGCAAGACCGGUGCCAGCCGCCGCGGUAACACCGGCAGCUCUAGUGGUAACAAUUUUUAUUGGGCCUAAAGCGUCCGUAGCCGGUUUAAUAAGUCUCUGGUGAAAUCCUGUAGCUUAACUGUGGGAAUUGCUGGAGAUACUAUUAGACUUGAGACCGGGAGAGGUUAGAGGUACUCCCAGGGUAGAGGUGAAAUUCUGUAAUCCUGGGAGGACCGCCUGUUGCGAAGGCGUCUAACUGGAACGGUUCUGACGGUGAGGGACGAAAGUUAGGGGCGCGAACCGGAUUAGAUACCCGGGUAGUCCUAACUGUAAACGAUGCGGACUUGGUGUUGGGGUGGCUUUGAGCUGCUCCAGUGCCGAAGGGAAGCUGUUAAGUCCGCCGCCUGGGAAGUACGGUCGCAAGACUGAAACUUAA